CUCACUAAGUUGGAUUUUGGUAGUAACUGUACUUUGCUCUAUUAUUUGUUCCCCAACUGGGAUGGGUAAACAUUUGUUCAUGUGUCCCCAGGAGCUGAGUCAUGCAACAGCAUGGUGACCCAUGAAUGUAAUGCUAGCACCUGGGAGACCAAGACAGGAUAACACUCAGGACCAACUAACUGCUCGGUGGUUGCCCUAUCCAGAAAGGACUGAACCUUCUCUCAUCAUGAAUCAUUAGUCAAAAAAAAAAAUCCCUAGACACUUGGCUACAGGCAAUUGAAGUUCCUCUUCACAGGUAACUUGUCUACAAAACAAUAAAACAAUCAGAACACUCA